UGGGGAAUAUUGCACAAUGGGCGCAAGCCUGAUGCAGCGACGCCGCGUGAGGGAUGGAGGCCUUCGGGUUGUAAACCUCUUUCGCCAGUGAAGCAGGCCAUCUUCUUUGUGGGGUGGUUGACGGUAGCUGGAUAAGAAGCGCCGGCUAACUACGUGCCAGCAGCCGCGGUAAUACGUAGGGCGCGAGCGUUGUCCGGAAUUAUUGGGCGUAAAGAGCUCGUAGGCGGCUGGUCGCGUCUGUCGUGAAAUCCCCUGGCUUAACUGGGGGCUUGCGGUGGGUACGGGCCGGCUUGAGUGCGGUGGGGGAGACUGGAAUGCCUGGUGUAGCGGAGGAAUGCGCAGAUAUCAGGAGGAACACCGGUGGAGAAGGCGGGUCUCUGGGCCGUUACUGACGCUGAGGAGCGAAAGCGUGGGGAGCGAACAGG
rnacentral:rRNA from 1 species